rnacentral:rRNA from 1 species
ACUCCUACGGGAGGCAGCAGUGGGGAAUAUUGCGCAAUGGGCGAAAGCCUGACGCAGCAACGCCGCGUGCGGGAUGAAGGCCUUCGGGUUGUAAACCGCUUUCAGCAGGGACGAAAAUGACGGUACCUGCAGAAGAAGCUCCGGCUAACUACGUGCCAGCAGCCGCGGUAAUACGUAGGGAGCAAGCGUUGUCCGGAUUUAUUGGGGCGUAAAGGGCUCGUAGGUGGUUCGGUAAGUCGGAUGUGAAAAAUCUGGGCUCAACCCAGUCAAGCAUCCGAUACUGCUGUGACUAGAGUUCGGUAGAGGAGUGUGGAAUUCCUGGUGUAGCGGUGGAAUGCGCAGAUAUCAGGAGGAACACCAACAGCGAAGGCAGCACUCUGGGCCGAUACUGACACUGAGGAGCGAAAGCAUGGGGAGCAAACAGGAUUAGAUACCCUGGUAGGCGUAG